AUUGAACGCUGGCGGCAGGCCUAACACAUGCAAGUCGAGCGGAGCGGGGGACGGGGGCGUAAUGCCUAGGAAUCUGACUGUUAGUGGGGGAUAACGUUCGGAAACGGGCGCGAAUACUGCAUACUAUUAGAUUAGCCUAGGUCGGAUUAGCUGGUUGGUGGGGUAAAGGUCUACCAAGGCGACGACCCCUAACUGGUCUGAGAGGAUGAUCAGUCACACUGGAACUGAGACACGGUCCAUACUCCUACGGGAGGCAGCAGUGGGGAAUAUUGGACAAUGGGCGAAAGCCUGAUCCAGCCAUGCCGCGUGUUUGAAGAAGGUCUUCGGAUUGUAAAGCACUUUAAGUUGGGAGGCGUUACCAACAGAAUAAGCACCGGCUAACUUCGUGCCAGCAGCCGCGGUAAUUC
rnacentral:rRNA from 1 species